UUAAUUUUCCUUUAUGCCAUUCAAAUUAUGUAAAUGCAUGAUAGUUUAUCUUCGCACAGGCUACCAUUUGGCUGUGCAGUAGAAGUGUUUGAUGAAAUCAUUGAAAGAAGAAAUGGUGGAGAGUUGGAGGUUGCGACUGAUUCGCGGGCUCAAGUGUUGGGCCGAAAAUACGUAGUAAUAUUUUGCGGAAGAAGCGGGAAGCAAGUUGCGAGUGUUUGAUGGCUUACAAAGUGAGAGAAAAAGGCUAUCAACUCGUGUGAUACGAAAUUAGUAGCAUUUUUUGUGGCCCUAAAAUUUCCAGAAUAAUCCUCUUGUUAAUACGGUAUUGUUGAGGGCGACAGAAGAUUCGUUAUGAGAAAAAAGAAGAAAAAGGAUAAGGAUGUUUAUUUGCUGUAUUGUUUAAUAUGAACCAUGUGAUGUCAAGCUGUGUGAGAGAGUCAUGGUGGCGCUGCUUUGUGUAAUUGGAUGCUGGCUGAGUUUGAGAGAUUUGUCGUUUGUAACACUGUGCUGGUGAAGUAAGAACAAUUCCAUGAUUCAGCAUUAUUGCAUGCGUAAAGGGAUCAUUGAUCUUGGAAGAAUAUGUGGCGUCUCUGCUGCAUCUCAGCACUUAAGCCAAGAUGGUCUCCGAAAGUUGAGAGUUUGCCCUCACCAAUCUUGCCAAACAUUCUACAGACAGGUCAUAAACACCAAGAAACAUAAGGUCUCAUAGGCUACUAGUUUGCAUGGUGUUAUUCUCACUAUCAGAAAACGAUAGCUCUGCGUCAAUCCACAGUUAACAAGAAAAAUUGUAUAAGCAAGUCCUCUUGAUGACUGUUUACAUUAAUUUGCAUCAGCAUGGAGGAUGGAAUCUACCUAUUGUAGGACUAGUUCAAUUUCUGAUCAAAGAUACAAAACUAAGAUUUCUUUCUAUUAAGCAGCAGCAUAAGGAAAAAGUUUCAGGGCUCUUAAAUCAAUCAGUGAAUAGCAUUGCUGAAGAUGCACGUUUUAAUUAAGCUCCUUUUGCAUAUUGGAGAUUUUUUUGAAGCAUCAACAUGUCAUGUAAACCAGUGGCCUACUCAAGGAGCCGUUCUAUGUUGGAUACAGCUCAGGUUGUGCUGGGAACAAGGCUCUACAAGUAAAUAGUGCAAGUUAGAUGCAAUAAAGUGGUGCAGCAGAUAUUGGAAUCUAAAGAAACACAUAUCCUGUUUUCCCCUAAGACACCAAGUUGCAGCCCCAUUUUCUCUGUCCUCUUGGCUCUUUUUCCACAUGAAAAAAAGUGGUAAAAAAUUAAAGUGUGCAGUUACCUUUCAUUCAUGUACCACAACUGCUUAGUGCUUGUCAAUUUUGACAUCUGAUGGAUACUAUGUUUUUGCAUCAACUCAUAUCUCCUCUGAUCUUGGUCGAAAUAAAUCUCCAUCCACUGAGGUUUGGUACGUCGGAUAUCUCAAUUUAGAUUACUUGUUGCGAUCUAAAUCUGAAAUCGGGAGAUCAUUAGGCUUUCCCCACCAGCGCAAUUACAAUCCUUCUAAUGCAUUAAUCAAUUCAAAUUCA